UUUAACACAUGCAAGUCGAGGGGUAACAUUGUGCUUGCACAGAUGACGACCGGCGCACGGGUGCGUAACGCGUAUAGAACCUACCUUUUACAGAGGGAUAGCCUUUAGAAAUGAAGAUUAAUACCUCAUAGUAUUGAGACUUGGCAUCAAGUUUUAAUUAAAGAUUUAUCGGUAAAAGAUGGCUAUGCUGUCCUAUUAGUUAGUUGGUAAGGUAACGGCUUACCAAGACAUCGAUAGGUAGGGGUCCUGAGAGGGAGAUCCCCCACACUGGUACUGAGACACGGACCAGACUCCUACGGGAGGCAGCAGUGAGGAAUAUUGGACAAUGGAGGAGACUCUGAUCCAGCCAUGCCGCGUGUAGGAAGAAUGCCCUAUGGGUUGUAAACUACUUUUAUACAGGAAGAAACACUGGUAUGUAUACCAGCUUGACGGUACUGUAAGAAUAAGGACCGGCUAACUCCGUGCCAGCAGCCGCGGUAAUACNGACGGUCCAAGCGUUAUCCGGAAUCAUUGGGUUGGGCGUANANCGCGCNUAGGUGGUUUG
rnacentral:rRNA from 1 species